rnacentral:rRNA from 1 species
UACGGAGGGUGCAAGCGUUAUCCGGAUUCACUGGGUUUAAAGGGUGCGUAGGAGGGCAGGUAAGUCAGUGGUGAAAUCUUCGAGCUUAACUCGGAAACUGCCGUUGAUACUAUCUGCCUUGAAUACCGUGGAGAUGUGCGGAAUAUGUCAUGUAGCGGUGAAAUGCUUAGAUAUGACAUAGAACACCAAUUGCGAAGGCAGCUCGUUACACGAAUAUUGACUCUGAGGCACGAAAGCGUGGGGAUCAAACAGG